rnacentral:rRNA from 1 species
GUGAUCGGCCACACUGGGACUGAGACACGGCCCAGACUCCUACGGGAGGCAGCAGUAGGGAAUCUUCCGCAAUGGACGAAAGUCUGACGGAGCAACGCCGCGUGAGUGAUGAAGGCUUUCGGGUCGUAAAACUCUGUUGUUAGGGAAGAACAAGUGCUAGUUGAAUAAGCUGGCACCUUGACGGUACCUAACCAGAAAGCCACGGCUAACUACGUGCCAGCAGCCGCGGUAAUACGUAGGUGGCAAGCGUUAUCCGGAAUUAUUGGGCGUAAAGCGCGCGCAGGUGGUUUCUUAAGUCUGAUGUGAAAGCCCACGGCUCAACCGUGGAGGGUCAUUGGAAACUGGGAGACUUGAGUGCAGAAG